rnacentral:rRNA from 1 species
GAGUUCAUAAACGGAUUAAACACGCAGCAAAGGAUGUACAUCCAGUUGAUAGGACUGGGUGGACUUCUCAAGAAACCUAGCAUCAAAAUUAGACGUGUACUCUGCCUGGCCAUUGUUAAUUCAUAUGAUGCAGAGCAGGAUGCCUUUAUCAUCAAUGGGAGACCAUGUAGGAUCACACUAGAAGAUGUAGCGCAUAUAACAGGCAUGCCCUGCCAUGGGAAGAAGCACGUCCCUUCAAAUCUUGAUGAUAAUAUGGAGUUGUGGAAGAAACUGAAAGACCGUAAUGACACCAAAAUAACUUUUAAAGGGUUGCUAGCCAAGAUGAAAGUCGACAGCACACCAAAUUUUGUCAGGCCAUUUGUCUUGUACACCAUAGGCAAAUAUGUAUGA